rnacentral:rRNA from 1 species
UCGAGAAUCUUCCGCAAUGGGCGAAAGCCUGACGGAGCGACACCGCGUGCAGGAUGAAGGCCUUCGGGUUGUAAACUGCUGUCAAGCUCUAGGAACGAACGGGUGUUAACAGCACUCGGAAUGACCAGGGCAGAAGGAAGCAACGGCUAACUCUGUGCCAGCAGCCGCGGUAAGACAGAGGUUGCAAACGUUGUUCGGAAUUACUGGGCAUAAAGAGCACGUAGGUGGCCCUCUAAGUCGUGUGUGAAAUCCCCCGGCUCAACCGAGGAAUUGCAUUCGAUACUGGUGGGCUUGAGGUCGGGAGGGGUGAGUGGAACUCCAGGUGGAGCGGUGAAAUGCGUAGAUAUCUGGAGGAACACCGGUGGCGAAAGCGACUCACUGGCCCGAAUCUGACACUGAGGUGCGAAAGCUAGGGUAGCAAACGGGAUUAGAUACCCCCGUAGUCC